rnacentral:rRNA from 1 species
UCUAAUACCGGAUACGACCCUUGAAGGCAUCUUUGAGGGUGGAAAGUUCCGGCGGUAUGGGAUGGACCCGCGGCCUAUCAGCUUGUUGGUGGGGUAAUGGCCUACCAAGGCGACGACGGG